rnacentral:rRNA from 1 species
UACGUAGGGUGCAAGCGUUGUCCGGAAUUAUUGGGCGUAAAGAGCUCGUAGGCGGUUUGUCGCGUCUGCUGUGAAAACCCGAGGCUCAACCUCGGGCCUGCAGUGGGUACGGGCAGACUAGAGUGCGGUAGGGGAGAUUGGAAUUCCUGGUGUAGCGGUGAAAUGCGCAGAUAUCAGGAGGAACACCAGUGGCGAAGGCGGAUCUCUGGGCCGUAACUGACGCUGAGGAGCGAAAAGCUGGGGAGCGAACAGG